rnacentral:rRNA from 1 species
AUUGAACGCUGGCGGCAUGCUUUACACAUGCAAGUCGAACGGUAACAGCACUUCGGUGGCUGACGAGUGGCGAACGGGUGAGUAAUGUAUCGGAACGUGCCCAGUAGUGGGGGAUAACUACUCGAAAGAGUGGCUAAUACCGCAUGAGAUCUCUGGAUGAAAGCGGGGGACCGUAAGGCCUCGCGCGAUUGGAGCGGCCGAUGGCAGAUUAGGUAGUUGGUGGGGUAAAGGCUCACCAAGCCUGCGAUCUGUAGCUGGUCUGAGAGGACGACCAGCCACACUGGAACUGAGACACGGUCCAGACUCCUACGGGAGGCAGCAGUGGGGAAUUUUGGACAAUGGGCGCAAGCCUGAUCCAGCCAUUCCGCGUGCAGGAUGAAGGCCUUCGGUUGUAACUAGCUUUGUACGGACGAAAGGUUUACCGUAAUACGGAGAGCUCAUGACGGUACCGUAAGAA